AUACGGAGGGGGUUAGCGUUGUUCGGAAUUACUGGGCGUAAAGCGUACGUAGGCGGACUGGAAAGUUGGGGGUGAAUGCCUGGGGCUCAACCCCGGAACUGCCUCCAAAACUUCCAAUCUAGAGAUCGAGAGAGGUGGGUGGAAUUCCAAGUGUAGAGGUGAAAUUCGUAGAUAUUUGGAGGAACACCAGUGGCGAAGGCGGCUCACUGGCUCGAUACUGACGCUGAGGUACGAAAGCGUGGGGAGCAAACAGGAUUAGAAACCCUAGUAGUCC
rnacentral:rRNA from 1 species